rnacentral:rRNA from 1 species
ACUGCUCAGUAACACGUGGAUAACCUACCCUUAGGACAGGGAUAAACCCGGGAAACUGGGUAUAAUACCCGAUAGAUCUCGAAUGCUGGAAUGCAUCGAGAUCGAAAGCUCCGGCGCCUAAGGAUGGAUCUGCGGCCUAUCAGGUAGUAGUGGGUGUAGCGUACCUACUAGCCUACGACGGGUACGGGUUGUGAGAGCAAGAGCCCGGAGAUGGAUUCUGAGACACGAAUCCAGGCCCUACGGGGUGCAGCAGGCGCGAAAACUUUACAAUGCCGGCAACGGCGAUAAGGGGACCUCGAGUGCCAGGUUACAAAUCUGGCUGUCGAGAUGCCUAAAAAGCAUUUCAUAGCAAGGGCCGGGCAAGACCGGUGCCAGCCGCCGCGGUAACACCGGCGGCUCGAGUGGUAACCGUUAUUAUUGGGUCUAAAGGGUCUGUAGCCGGCCGGAUAAGUCUCUUGGGAAAUCUGGCAGCUUAACUGUCAGGCUUUCAGGAGAUACUGUCUGGCUCGAGGCCGGGAGAGGUGAGAGGUACUUCAGGGGUAGGGGUGAAAUCUUGUAAUCCUUGAAGGACCACCAGUGGCGAAGGCGUCUCACCAGAACGGACCUGACGGCAAGGGACGAAAGCUAGGGGCACGAACCGGAUUAGAUACCCGGGUAGUCCUAGCCGUAAACGAUACUCGCUAGGUGUCGGCCGCGGUGCGACCGUUGUCGGUGCCGUAGGGAAGCCGUGAAGCGAGCCACCUGGGAAGUACGGCCGCAAGGCUGAAACUUAAAGGAAUUGGCGGGGGAGCA